GAAUCAUUCAAUCCUUACCUUUAGGUGUUGUGUCAGUAUCUAAUGCAUGCAAUCUAAUUCAAUGGGCUGGGGAUUUCAACAGCUAUUUACACACAGAAAGCCUGUUGAGAACAUUCAACUCGCACUUUUCGUUCGCUAAUCUAAAUUAAUGCCUCUCACUGCGAAUCGGAAUAGGCUGUGCAGCGAUGUUUUAUCAUUCAAUUAAAAAAAGGGAGGAAAGCAGCUAAAAACGCGUGCAUGGCAAAUGCGCGAAAUAAACCAGAGGAUUUUCGCACAUUCCCCUCUACGUAAAAAUAGUGGGCGGAAGAGUGGAAGCAAUUUGCACCACCCAACGGACGGAAUAAUGAAGUGUUUAGUUGAUUAUCUAAACGCACGGCGCCGUAUCCGGAUCCGGGAGCACUGGGCCUAGUAGUGCUGGAAUUGCUUGGGGUUUUCGGGUAGCGGUUGAGUCAAUAAUGCGCCAAAUAAACAGCUAACAAGUUGGUAAUAAAAGAACUCUAAAAUUGCCCGAGGUCCGACCGAUUUGGUAGAAUGCCAGGCCCCACCCAUCGAGCAUUUAUUCACCCACACGCAACUGCAGGUAGUGGCAGGUAACACCGGCCUGAAAAGUUCCAAACAAAAGCACAGCCGUCGGCCAUGGCGAAUAUAGCCAUAUAUAG
ensembl:ncRNA lncRNA:CR46103 long non-coding RNA:CR46103